rnacentral:lncRNA from 1 species
AGCAGUCAUGUCAGCGGCCCGGUCAGCAGCCCCGGCCAACCAGGCCAUGCCGCAUGGCAAGGAAACGCUGACACGGGACGGGCCACAUGGGCGAUCCGCGUGUGCGCGAUCGAACGGCUCAGAUCUGUUCCCGCGCGCACGGACGGCCCAGAUCAAACAUGCUCACGGACGGCCCAGAUUCACGCGUACGGACGACCCAGAUUGCAUCGUGAUGGACGGCCAAGAUUUAGUCCCAAUUUAAUCGUGAUCGAACGGUCCUGAUUUAAUCUUGAUGGAC